rnacentral:rRNA from 1 species
UACGGAGGGGGCAAGCGUUAUUCGGAAUUAUUGGGCGUAAAGGGCGCGUAGGCGGCCUCACAAGUCAGGGGUGAAAUCCCUCGGCUCAACCGAGGAACUGCCUCUGAAACUGUGAGGCUUGAGUCCGGGAGAGGGUGGUGGAAUUCCCAGUGUAGCGGUGAUAUGCGUAGAUACUGGGAGGAACACCGGUGGCGAAGGCGGCCACCUGGACCGGUACUGACGCUGAGGCGCGAAAGCGUGGGGAGCAAACAGG